CCUACGGGUGGCAGCAGUGAGGAAUAUUGGUCAAUGGGCGGGAGCCUGAACCAGCCAAGCCGCGUGAGGGAAGAAGGUACAGCGUAUCGUAAACCUCUUUUGUCAGGGAACAAAGGCGGGGACUAGUCCCCGGAUGAGGGUACCUGUAGAAAAAGCAUCGGCUAACUCCGUGCCAGCAGCCGCGGUAAUACGGAGGAUGCGAGCGUUAUCCGGAAUGACUGGGCGUAAAGGGUGCGUAGGUGGUUUGGCAAGUUAGUAGCGUAACUCCAAGGCUCAACCUUGGAACUACUACUAAAACUGUUGGACUUGAGUGCAGGAGGGGCAACCGGAAUUCCUAGUGUAGCGGUGGAAUGCGUAGAUAUUAGGAGGAACACCAGUGGCGAAGGCGGGUUGCUAGACUGUAACUGACACUGAGGCACGAAAGCGUGGGGAGCAAACAGGAUUAGAUACCCCAGUAGUC
rnacentral:rRNA from 1 species